GUAAGAAAUAAUAGAAUAGAUCAAUGAGUUCUGGAGNCNGANGGCUAGCUCACAGCAUAAGAGCCGGACAUCGAGGCGUCCUUCUGACCUGCUNGUUAGGCAAUGUGGUGUUUAGGCCGGCUAGCGGGAGUGCUGCUCCAUUCUAAGUCCAGCGUUUGAGUAUGGCUUCUGGACUUGGCCCCGAGAGGGUGAGAGGCCCGUCCUCGAAUGGAGGAUAAGAGAAGUGGGCAGUUCUCUUUNNGCNUCGGCCUUCGUGUCGGGUUGUUUGAGAAUGCAGCCCAAAAAGUGGGUGGUUGCCUCCCUCCAAGGCUAAAUACUAGGGGGGGUGGGAUAGGGNNNNAACAAGUAUCGUGGGGGAAAGUUGAAAAGUACUUUGAAGAGAGAGUCACCNAGUANCGUGAAACCGCAAAGAGGUGAACGGGUGGCGUCAAGCUGCCCGCUUGGANGAAUUCAGUCGGUUUGGAUUUUGUGUGUUCGCCUGGCGGAUUUUUCCGUCAGAGUGAGUACAGGUGUUCCGCUGGGUGACGGCAGGGCCGGCCGNCNCAAGGGUGGGAUUGGCAUUCCAUUGUUGUUUGGGGAGCCUGCCCCCUUUUUGAGGACUGCCUGGCCGAUGCAUUUUUUCCGUGGCGAACACCACGACCGGUGGUACUGCCGGUCUGCUGUGGUAAAGUCAGGCUGAGUUGGCGUUCACGUGUGGACUGGGCCUGAUCAUAAGGCAAGCGGUUUGCGGGUGCGUUUCGUGCGUGCCUGUAAGGCCGAUUUGUCAACGGGUCUGUUUGCUGAUGAUCGUAGUAGUCGGCCAGAUGGCCUGGUGAAACCCAUGGUGGUACAGAAUAAUUUGUGCAGGGCACCGGUGAUAUCCGGUCUCGAAUUUGGUUCGCGCGCACACUACAANUGAAUGGUUGUGUGGCGGCCGUUAGUUGCGGUCCUGCCCCGUGAUUGGGUUUGGUUGUCGUUUCCGCCCGCUGCAAGGUGGGCCCGGCACUCGCCUGAUCUGGGANNUGGUGUUUUUNNNAGCGAGCAAGUCUCCGGUGCGGGUCGAUGUGGANCCAAAUAGUCCGUNNNGGUGUAUUNGGUAGACGNAGCCUCCCCGCCCCGUCUUCGAAACNACGGACCAAGGAUUUCAACAUGUGCGCAAGUCACUGGGCGUUACGAACCCCAAGGGCGAAAUUAACGUUAAGCCUCAGUUCGCCUCUCACGGGGUGAGCUGGGGUGUGGUGAGAUCCUGCCGUUACUCGCCCCCGCCCUUGUGCUGUCUCAGCACCAGGCUAAGAGCGGUAGGGGGAUCACCGGCCCGUCUCAUGAUUUCGCUGUUGGUUGGCUGCUUGCAAAAGUCGCCAGCGUGCCUUCAGGGGCGGAGCCUGAGCGCAAACACGUUUUUUUGCCCCNNGAAAGGUGGUGAACUAUGCUUGCGUAGGUUGAAGCCGGGGGAAACUUAUGGUCGACCCGCUGAGAUGUAGGGGGCACCGAAUGUACCGCUUCGUCAAUUAAUGUUAAAGCGAUACGGAGCUAGGAGAAUUAACGUUCUGCUGCCUAUUUCUGG
rnacentral:rRNA from 1 species